GCGUCGGUCUACGGAACCGAAGAUUGUAGGUUCGAAUCCUGCCAGGGUCG
rnacentral:tRNA from 1 species